UACGGGGGGAGCAAGCGUUGUUCGGAUUUACUGGGCGUAAAGGGCGCGUAGGCGGUAGCACAAGUCAGUUGUGAAAUCUCCGGGCUUAACUCGGAAAGGUCAACUGAUACUGUGCGACUAGAGUGCAGAAGGGGCAACUGGAAUUCUCGGUGUAGCGGUGAAAUGCAUUGAGAUCGGAAAGAACACCAACGGCGAAAGCACUCUGCUGGGCCGACACUGACACUGAGAGACGAAAGCUAGGGGAGCAAAUGGG
rnacentral:rRNA from 1 species